GUGUUGGUGGCUCAGUGGUUAAGACUUUGGACUUGUAAUCAGAAGGUUAUGAGUUGAAAUCUCAGCAAUGCU